rnacentral:rRNA from 1 species
UACGUAGGGGGCAAGCGUUGUCCGGAAUCAUUGGGCGUAAAGAGCGUGUAGGCGGCCCGAUAAGUCCGCUGUGAAAGUCCAGGGCUCAACCCUGGAAUGCCGGUGGAUACUGUCGGGCUCGAGUACGGAAGAGGCGAGUGGAAUUCCUGGUGUAGCGGUGAAAUGCGCAGAUAUCAGGAAGAACACCCGUGGCUAAGGCGGCUCUCUAGUACGGUACUGACGCUGAGACGCGAAAGCGUGGGGAGCGAACAGG